UGAACGCUAGCGGCAAGCUUAAUACAUGCAAGUCGUGGGGCAGCAUGAAGUAGCAAUACUUUGAUGGCGACCGGCAAACGGGUGCGGAACACGUACACAACCUUCCGAUAAGUGGGAAUAGCCCAGAGAAAUUUGGAUUAUACCCCGUAACAUUGCGAUGUGGCAUCACAUUGCAAUUAUAGCUUCGGCGCUUAUUGAUGGGUGUGCGUAUGAUUAGAUAGUUGGCGGGGUAACGGCCCACCAAGUCUACGAUCAUUAGCUGAUGUGAGAGCAUGAUCAGCCACACGGGCACUGAGACACGGGCCCGACUCCUACGGGAGGCAGCAGUAAGGAAUAUUGGUCAAUGGACGAAAGUCUGAACCAGCUAUGCCGCGUGAAGGAUUAAGGUCCUCUGGAUUGUAAACUUCUUUUAUAUGGGACGAAAAAAGGUCUUUCUAGAUCACUUGACGGUACCAUAUGAAUAAGCACCGGCUAACUCCGUG
rnacentral:rRNA from 1 species